AACGAACGCUGGCGGCAUGCCUAACACAUGCAAGUCGAACGAGACCUUCGGGUCUUGUGGCGCACGGGUGCGUAAUGCGUGGGAACCUGCCCUUAGGUUCGGAAUAACUCUCCGAAAGGGGUGCUAAUACCGGAUAAUGUCUUCGGACCAAAGAUUUAUCGCCUUUGGAUGGGCCCGCGUUGGAUUAGCUAGUUGGUAGGGUAAAAGCCUACCAAGGCGACGAUCCAUAGCUGGUCUGAGAGGAUGAUCAGCCACACUGGGACUGAGACACGGCCCAGACUCCUACGGGAGGCAGCAGUGGGGAAUAUUGGACAGUGGGCGAAAGCCUGAUCCAGCAAUGCCGCGUGAGUGAUGAAGGCCUGAAGGUUGUAAAGCUCUUUUACCCGGGAUGAUAAUGACAGUACCGGGAGAAUAAGCUCCGGCUAACUCCGUG
rnacentral:rRNA from 1 species